AACGAACGCUGGCGGCAGGCUUAACACAUGCAAGUCGAACGCCCCGCAAGGGGAGUGGCAGACGGGUGAGUAACGCGUGGGAAUCUACCCAUCUCUGCGGAAUAGCUCUGGGAAACUGGAAUUAAUACCGCAUACGCCCUACGGGGGAAAGAUUUAUCGGGGAUGCAUGAGCCCGCGUUGGAUUAGCUAGUUGGUGGGGUAAAGGCCUACCAAGGCGACGAUCCAUAGCUGGUCUGAGAGGAUGAUCAGCCACAUUGGGACUGAGACACGGCCCAAACUCCUGCGGGGGGCAGCAGUGGGGAAUAUUGGACAAUGGGCGCAAGCCUGAUCCAGCCAUGCCGCGUGAGUGAUGAAGGCCUUAGGGUUGUAAAGCUCUUUCACCGAUGAAGAUAAUGACGGUAGUCGGAGAAGAAGCCCCGGCUAACUUCGUGCCAGCCGCCGCCGUAA
rnacentral:rRNA from 1 species